rnacentral:rRNA from 1 species
UACGUAGGGCGCAAGCGUUAUCCGGAAUUAUUGGGCGUAAAGAGCUCGUAGGCGGUUUGUCGCGUCUGCCGUGAAAGUCCGGGGCUCAACUCCGGAUCUGCGGUGGGUACGGGCAGACUAGAGUGAUGUAGGGGAGACUGGAAUUCCUGGUGUAGCGGUGAAAUGCGUAGAUAUCGGGAGGAACACCAGAGGCGAAGGCGGGUUACUGGGCUGAUACUGACGCUGAUGCGCGAAAGCCAGGGGAGCAAACGGG